CAGUGUUACAGCUCUUUUAGAAUUUGUCUAGUAGGUUUUCCGGUAUUCACCGGGAAGCCCUC
ensembl:snRNA U7 U7 small nuclear RNA